UUCCAGCUGACGAGUCCUAAAUAGGAGGAAAAGCGCGUCGUGGAU
rfam:Schistosoma rodhaini strain Burundi genome assembly, scaffold: SROB_scaffold0000024